UAAGUAUUAGGCAUAUCAACUCAUAAGGUCCACAUUCAAUACACACAUGUGGCUAGCCCGAUGAGCAGACGACCUCUUCUCUGGGCUAGUAGAUUUUUGUGGUGGGACCCACAUCACCCACGUGGCUGGAGCACAACUCGAUAUCCCACAUGCAUGUGCCCGUCUGUAACAGGUGCAUGUGGGCAUUGUAUUUAGCAAAGCUCCUCAUUUUUCAUGCAUAUAUGUAUUUUGAAUUAGAAUGGUUGAGGGUUCAUAUAUGUAUUUGGAUAUAUCAUUUGUUUGCUGCAUGUCCUAUUGAAUUUUGUGCUCUUCUUAAAUAAAAGAAAGAUAGAGAAUUUUCAAAUUCGAACAAAGAGCUGCAGAACUCUCUCUCUCUCUCUCUCUCUCUCUCUCUCUCUCUCUCUCAGUUUGAAUUUCUUGUGUAUUUCAUCUGUGGAGGUCUAUUUAAUUCAAUUUUCGAGUAGGUGCAAAUGUUGCAUAAUUAAAAUCAUGUUCCUUUUACUCUCUUAGGGAGGAGGAUGGUGCAACAAUGUUACGACUUGCCUCUCAUGAAAAGAAAACCAUUUGGGUUCAUCCAAGAAGAUUGGGUUUGAUGUCUACUUCUCCAUAGCUAGGGGGAAUGCCAUUUUGCCUGCUAUGGAAAUGACCAAGUGCUUCGACAUCAACUAGUAAGCCAUUGUUAAGGUGUCUCUUGCUUGAUUUUAUACAUUAAGGAUCUGUUAUCAUAUUCAAUUUGUAAGAUGCUCCAAGUGUACAAGUACAAGCUUGAGUAAAACCAAGUAUAAUUUCUAUUCUUGAUCUUAUGAAAGGCGAAUGUUGAUGCAGUAGCAGUUAAAAUAGUCAUGGCUAGAGAUGGAUGUGAAAAUGGCGGUAAAGUGAAACAGAAUGAGCAUGAUCUUUAUCUUUCUAUUGGCCUGAAGUACGGAGAUGGGCCUAAUAAUGAGCUGGGCUUUGAGGAAAAAUGGGGACUACACAAGGGAAAUCGGACACCUGAAUUUUUCUGAUUACAUCACAGCCGUUGAUAACAAAAUGUCCUCAUAUGGAAGCCUCUUGAAUAGUGUUUGGUAUCAACCAGAAGAAGUGUUCCCAGUAGAUGGGACACCUGAAAGUAGAGAGCAUGUCUUUUGGGUUCCUGUGUAUAGCCAUUACUAUGCAAUUUCAAAGAAGCUGAAGGUAAUUAAAACUACAAAAAUCUCCCAAUUCUUAUAUACCUACAAAUGAAAUCUAUGUAUUGAAAUGGGGCCCAGGUUUUUCCAGUGGACCUGAAAUUCAGGCCCAAGCCUGUUUUCAGCCCAAAUUUGGCUCAUGUGAGGCCCAGACUGUUGCGUUGGAAUAGAUGAACCGCACAUUUGGAUGGCUUGUUUAUGAAGAAAGGUGUAGUCAACAAACUCGGUGGACCACACCUUGUAUUGCUUGUUAUUGAAGAAUGUGUUUUAUUGGUGGAAUUCAAAAGUUUUGUGGAAAAGAAAAUGUUUUCUAUAAAUGCGAUAUUAUUUUGCUGAUUGUGACAAUAAAUUAACAUGCAAAAAACUGUUUUCUUUUGUAGCAUUUUACUUUUCCUUUAAAAAGCUUGAUGAUCUUUGUUUCUAUACUUUAUGGCAUUUUCCUCAAAAAGGCUAUGGUUCGACCAAGUGUGGUCUAAGGCAACUCUAAGCAUCGCUUUGAAGGAGUGCAAGCGAUCCAAGGUUGGAGUACAUACAGCAUCGCUAGGCAUGGUAUUAACAGAUUUGCUUCUAAGAUUUUGGUACAGCACAUCAGGGCAGUUCUUCCAGGAUUAAAAGCCAGCAUAACUGCUCAAUUGGUUGCUGUAGCAAAGGAGCAUGCUGCCUAUGGCGAAAUCACUGAAUCAAAAGUGUCUUUUUUCAUAAUGAUUCCGAGAGUAUGGCGGGAUCAUUUGCAUAAGAUUAUGAAAGUUUAAAUUAUUCUUUCCUUAUUUGAUAAGUUUACACUUUAUUUCUCCCGAAU